AUACUUACCUGGCAGGGGAGAUACUAUGAUCACAAAGGUGGUUUUCCCAGGGUGAGGCUUAACCAUUGCACCCCAUCCCGGAUCUGCUCUGCGAUUUCCCCAAAUAUGGGAAACUCAACUGCAUAAUUUGUGGUAGUUGGGGACUGCAUUCGCACUUUCCUCUG